rnacentral:rRNA from 1 species
GCGGAACGGGACGAAUUUCUGCCUUAUCAGCUUUCGAUGACCGUGCAGUGAACGGCCACGGCGAUAACGAGUCACGGGGAAUCAGGGUUCGAUUCCGGAGAGGGCGCCUGAGAAACGGCGACCAGAUCUAAGGAUUGCAGCAGGCACGUAAAUUGCCCAAUGGCAGCUCGCUGUUGAGGCAGUGACGAGAAAUAACAACACCGGCCGAAAUAACUUCGGCCGGUGAUUGUAAUGAACGGUAUCCAAAGGAGCAAUCAUGGUCCCGAGAGUCGGAAAGCUUAUCUCUUAGAUGGGACUGGCAGUGCCCUUUCAACUCCCGGAAGAAUGUGCCUUUCACAGGUCUGUGAUGCUCCGCAAUGUUCUGGACUGCACGCGCACUACACUGGCACAGGCAACAAGCGGCAAACCGUGCUUCUUAGCCGGUUCCUCCUUUGAAGAGAGCUUGGUAAUCUUUGGAAACCGUGUCGUGAUUGGGGAUAGGAGAUUGCAAUUAUUUUCCCUGAACGAGGAAUGCCCAGUAGGGACGGUUCAUCAAACCGUUCCGAUUGCGUCCCUGGCAUUUGUACACACCGCCCGUCGUUGUGAUCGAUUGGAUGUUGCAUAGAGG